AAAAAAUCAGACACUCUUGGAGCUGAAUGUUUCCUUCGAUGCCAUUCUACAAAUGGGGUCUCUGAGCCCAGAGAGAGCUUGUGGCCUGCCCAGAGCUGCCCUGCUAGGGCUAGAUGGAAUCUGCCUUCCUGACUCCUUGCACUGGAAAUGUGGGGUGUGAAGGUCAGGAGCGGAGGAAGAUGCCAAGGCGCUUGGCCUGAGAAGCUAGAAGGAUGGACUUGCACUAACUGCGAUGGGGAAGAUUGGAUGGAACAGAUCGGGAAGGAGUAGACCAGAAGUCCCAUUCCGGACACCAUCAGAUUGACAGACCCUCGGACCUCCAGGUAGACUGUGAAAACGGAAGCCCCCUGACUCGCUGACGCCCAGAGUGGUGCUGCCACCACAGGACUCAAAGGCAGAUGUCUGGAACUGGACUUAAAACUAUCUUUUGGACCGUGGGUCCAUUUUCUGCCCAGGAUAAUGCUGAUGCCUAGUUACACAAAACACUGUGUCCAACGCCAGGGGCUCAUGAAACGCUCUGUAUCCUGUCCAUGGAUCGUCCUCACGUUUUGGGAAUCUGGGACUCCAGAACUUUCCUGACUGCCCCUUCCACCCACUCUGAACUUUCUGCCCCACUCCCCACCCGACCCGUGCCUGUGGCAGUGGAGUGCAGACGAUCUUCCCUUCAAGUCUUCAGUUCAUCUCCACUGUUUCGUGCGUGUGGGCUCCUUCCUCGCACGUGAACUCAGAAGAAGGCUGAAGCUUUUCUUUGAUGGUCUACAUCUAGUGCAGAGCCUGCCUCUGCAAGUUUCACAACUAAAACUUAUUUGUGGUCGAUUGUUGACUGCAUCACGGCCUCUCUGUGAGAGAAAGAGCAGGAAAUGUCUAGUCUGGCUGCACAGAGAACAUGGGUACAGUCACAAGCCUCGGAAGGGUUGGUGCGCAUUUUUGGACAAUAUUGAUUUAUUAUUUGACAGGCCGCUCCAUGCUGCCCGCAGGUGUCAGUGCACCAAAGAAUUUACUGAAGCACAAGCAGAAGGACCUACAACUAGAAUAUGCCACUAUGUACUGGGGGGUGCUUUGGGGAGGAGAAGAAGGAAAAAAAAGAAGAGUGGCAACACAUGUUAGCUCAGGUGCCAAUCUUUAAGAAAAAAAAGAAUUUAUUGAGGUUAGAUCUGAGCAGUGAUAUAUAAGGUGUGAGAAUUCAACCUAUGAGAGAAGCCCUGAGAAGGGAGCAGAGCUUCCUCAAACUAGAUUUCUGUCCCAGGAACGGCCUAGUUCAGGUUCCCUUCCAGGUGGGCCAUGGGGCUGAUGCAUAAGGGACAGGAGACCUGGACAGUAGGGACACAUUUGCCCGUGGAAGUGCCCCCAGCUCUCUGUCCUCUGCCACUGCUUAUGGGAGUGUGCCUCAGCUAUACUGCCUGCCCCACAGAGCUCACAGGCUCUCCCCGCCCUGGUGACUGGUGCCUCCCUUCCCCGCUCAAACUCUCAGAGCCAUAACGUGCAGCCUCCUCCAGGAAGCCAAGUAGCUGCACCUGCAUGCCCUCUUCCUUCUUGCAGCCCACUGCCCUGCCCGGAUCACGCUUCAGCAAGCGGCCCUGUGGAAGGAGCAUUUGCUUGUGGAAUCUUAUGCCCACAAUUAUCAAUCAACCUGCGCCAGCUUGUUUGCUCAGUGAUAGCCUUAGUUUCUAGGAAACCAGCAGUCCUGAGACAGGACUACAAAGUAGAACCGAAUUUUGUUGAAAAGCCCACCAACAGGCAUAUAAAUUGGUACAACCAUUUUGGAGAAGUAUUUGGCGGUAUCAGCGAAAGCAGAACACGCCCUGUGACCAGUGCCAGGCUCAUAAGUGCUUCAUAACUGGUUCUGGAAGUGCAGUUCCAACAUGAAUAUUGGUUGAUAUUUUUGUUUAUAUUAAAGAGUAAGAUGAAAGAGACAUACGUGGGACUUCACUCACUUGUCAAUGACGUGAGCAACUUCCUUCCUGAAUCAGGUAAUAAUUUUCCAAUACCAGAGGAAUAUUUACUCAUUUUUUUGUGCUAUUUACCAUGUUAUAGCUACAGAGACGAUACACGUCUAAGUGUAAUCUGCAUUAUUAACAUUUUCUCUAUGACUUUCUUAAGUCUAACUCUAGACAAUCAACAAAACAGUAAAUCUAGUAAGCCCUGAUUUGUAGCAUUUGCCAAUUCCCAUGGUGUGAAAACGCCCCCAUGGCCGAUUUCGUGCUGCCAACGUGGAUGGACGUCACUGAAUCUGGAGUUGGGAAGAGAUGAGUCAUCCCAUUAUAUAGUGUUCCUGCCAUGCAGAUACAAUAGACACAGAUCACCUCAGGAGCCACCGGAAUGCAAGGGAAGGUAGGUCAGAGUGGGGCAAAAUUUUGCAAACUCCUGGCAAUCUAACAGCUGGCGCUCAUGAGCCAGAAUGAGCCAGCUCCAGCAUGGCACUGCCUAGGACCGGGCCGCUCCUCUCCCAGGUAUACGCCCAACAGAAAUAUGUACAUGUGUGCACCGAAAACAUAAACAGGAAUGUUCAUAGGAGCAUUACCCACAAGCACCAAAACGUUUCUUAGUGGUCAAUGCGAUAAGUAAAUUAUAACACUGUAAACUGAGCAAUGAGAAUAAGCCAAGUGCCGCUAACUGCUAUAUCAUGGCUGACUCUCACAAAUAUGACGCUGAGCAAAAGAGGUCAGACACAAAGGAGCACCUGUCACCGGAGUGCAUUUAUACAAAGCUCGAAAGCAGGUCAAAUGAGCCUAUGACAUCACAAAAUAGGAGAGUGGUAACUUUGGGGACCAGGGACAGGAAAGUGAUUGACAGGGACAGGAGUGGGCUUUGGGGUGCUGGCAAUAUGAGUUUUUUCCUGGCUUGGGUGGUGAUUACAUAAGGUUGUUGAUUUUGUGAUAACUCAUCUGGCUGUGAAAACAUUAACCAUGCACUUUUCUGUAUG
ensembl:lncRNA